GAUGAACGCUGGCGGCGUGCCUAAUACAUGCAAGUCGAGCGAACGGACGAGAAGCUUGCUUCUCUGAUGUUUGCGGCGCACGGGUGAGUAACACGUGGAUAACCUCCCUAUCAGACUGGGAUAACUUCGGGACACCGGAGCUAAUCCCGGAUAAUCUUUUGCACCGCAUGGGUCAAAAGUAAAAGACGGUGUUGCUGUCACUUCUAGAUGCAUCCGCGCUGCAUUAGCUAGUUGGUAAGGUAACGGCCUAUCACGGCAACGAUGCAUAGCCGACCUGAGAGGGUGAUCGGCCACACGGGAACUGAGACACGGUCCAGAGUACUACGGGAGGCAGCAGUAGGCAAUCGUCCGCAGUGGGCGAGAGCCUGACGGAGCAACGCCGCGUGAGUGAUGAAGGUCUUCGGAUCGUAAAACUCUGUUAUUAGGGAAGAACAUAUGUGUAAGUAACUGUGCACAGCGUGACGGUACCUAAUCAGAAAGCCACGGCUAACUACGUG
rnacentral:rRNA from 1 species